rnacentral:rRNA from 1 species
AGCGAACGCUGGCGGCAGGCUUAACACAUGCAAGUCGAGCGGGCAGGCCGGGGUCAGCGGCAGACGUGUGAGUGACACGUGGGAACUUACCCUUCGGUUCGGUAUAACGCAGGGAAACUAGCGCUAAUACCAGAUACGCCCUUUUGGGGUAAGGUUUACUGCCGAAGGAUCGGCGCUCGUCAGAUUAGGUAGUUGGUGGUGUAAUGGCCUGCCAAGGCGACGAUGAGGAGCUGGUCUGGGAGCAUGAUCUGCCACGCUGGGAAUGAGACACGGCCCAGACUCCUACGGGAGAGAGCAGUGGGGAGCAUAGGACGAUGGAGGCAAGCCUAGUAAAGCCGUGUCGCGUGUGACAGGAAGGCCUUAGGGUUCCAAAGUCCUUUUGGCCGGGACGAUAGUGACGGUAACGGAUGAAGAAGCCCCGGCUAACUUCGUG